rnacentral:lncRNA from 1 species
AUUGCGUUUGUACCAGUACAGUCCGCCCAGGUGGAGAAUACUCCUUCCUUGCUAAGAAAACUAUACCCUUGCUGGAUGAGGCCGCAUUUCAAACUGAGCUGAUUGAAUUCCAGACAUCGAGCCAAAUCAGGGAUACACUCAGGAGUGCCGAGUCCCUGUGUCCGUUGUGCGUGGCAUGCUCAGAGGAAUAGAGCACAAUAAAGAAACUUGCAUUUUAUGUGCUAACAAUAUUUGGAUCGACUUACACCUGCGAGUCCUCAUUUUCCUCUCUGAACGCAAUAUAGAUUCACGACAGGAACCGGCUUUCACAUAAGUUAAUCGAGGACUGACUGCACAUCAAAAUCACAUCCAUCCAUAAACCCGACAUCCACAAGAUUGUAUCUGAGGGUUUUCUCCAUCUGUUGGUUUUUGGACAAGGACAUCCCGGUCACGGACAGUGCUAUUCGCAAACACUAUCAUCAGGUGCCUGUGUUACGCCGAACGCAAAACCCCCGUGAAAAUGAACAGCGAGACUAUUCAAGCCAUCGACUCACUGAUGAAUGAAGAUGAUGAGCGAUCGGCAAAGGCCAUCUGUAAUCUGCUGGCAUCACGGCACAUCAACAUCGCUGUAAUCACAGUCAGAAGAUACUGUAUUCAAAUUGCAGGGGGCAAAGACACCAGAUGAGGCUGCUAUGGUGGUGUGACCAGGGGAGACGGAGAAGGCAGUUGGUCCAGAGGAGGCUGCGUUGGUGGUGAUAGACGGGGGGUGGUGUGCAUCGUGGAGGUGGUGGACGAAACCGUCGACGAUGGCUUGGAGGAGCUGGUGUUUGUAAUGGUGGGGUUAAGGGGCUGACGAUGGUGGGGGCGGGAGAGUAGGCACGUGGCCUUCUUCUGCAGCUGGGGGCUCCGGCGGCUCCUACAGGUGUUGCACACUGGGAGGCACUGGUAGUGGUGAUGCAGCUGUCAGGAGUGGUUCCAGCGGGAGAUCCAGCAGAGGCGAUGGCGUCAAUGGUCUCAUCCUCUCCUGUGCCCUCUGUGUUCUGAGGGCUGCCCGACACUCUUUCCCCUCUGCCUCGGCCCUCUCCUUCUCAUGCCUCUCCUGCCACUGGCGCGUGUAUUCCUCCCCGGUGAGGCAUGUGGCGACCACAGGGAGUCUUCUGUAUCGGUCUAGCCGAUACUUUAAGACAGUAAGGAUGUGCCCUAGGUCCUUCGCUAUCAGCUCCCCCCUCUAUUAGGGGGUGCUCUUCUAGAGCCAGGGCUGGGACUGGAGCAGGGGCUGAGGGUCCUCCUGUGGUCGCUGGGGAGGAGGUGCUGAUGGACGGCACAGUGCUGCUGGUUCCAGGAGAGGCGGUAGUGGGACCUGGUAGGGACCGAGAAGGCAUUAAACGGGACUUCAAUGGCUGAAGGGUCAAAAGGGAAGAGGGCACACUUCUUAAACCCUUCCACAACAUAGCGCAUGUCCUUGCAGCGCUGGUACGGCAAACUCUGAUUUGUUUAUAAUGUAGGAGUGGUCAAAAUGGCUGUGGUCUCCAGCUACCUUGGA